AAUGGCAUUCAAUAUAACAUGUCCCUACGGCGUACGUGUGAAGAGAGCGGCACGUGUUUGUACGAACACGUUUUUGCAAACAGAGGAUCCCAGCUCCAAGACAGUCUCAUGGAGUUUUCGUAGAAACAGAGACACGCCAAUCUUUGUCAUUUUUUUUUUUUUAAAUUUCCCAUUUUCUUGUUCUUCCAUAUUCAAUCUUCGAGGAAUCGUUGAGUUUUAGCAAAUGGCAAUUGCCAUGCGUGAUAUGCCAAUUGUAUUUCUGCUGUCCCAUUCUAAUAUAUUAAAGUGGCAACUUGGCACUAUCUUCUUUGGCUGCUGUAACUGUGUAAAAACCGAAAGGGGGAAAAUCUAAGGUCACAUGCUCAAAUCUUACUGGUCAACAGCUGCUCUGAGAGGUGUCAAAGAAAAAUAUGGGUAGAAAAUUUGUUUCAAUUCAAUUCAAACUAUUUUUAGUUGUUUAGUCGUGAUUUUACAAAGACGGAAUUGACAAUCAUAAACUUCUAUCAACGGUGUUUAUCAUUAAUAAAAUUUAAAAUAAUUUUGAUA